CAGGACUCCGCAGUUCUCCUUCUCACAAUGAGGCUCCCUGCUCAGCUCCUGGGGCUGCUAAUGCUCUGGGUCCCUGGAUCCACUGGGGAUAUUGUGAUGACCCAGUCUCCACUCUUCAUGCCCGUCACCCUUGGAAAGCCGGCCUCCAUCUCCUGCAGGUCUAGUCAGAGCCUCCUGCAUAGUAAUGGAAACACCUAUUUGAGUUGGUUUUUGCAGAAGCCAGGCCAGUCUCCAAGGCGCCUAAUUUAUAAGGUUUCUACCAGGGACUCUGGGGUCCCAGACAGAUUCAGCGGCAGUGGGGCAGGGACAGAUUUUACACUGAAAAUCAGCACAGUAGAGGCUGAGGAUGUUGGGGUUUAUUACUGCCUACAGAGUACACGAUAUCCUCACACAGUGCUCUUUCAGCUGCAACAGCCGUGGCAUGGCAUACGCCGUAAGAAACCGGAAAUGAUCCGAGUGCCUGCACAGGGCACUGACACCCCACAGACUUUCCAGGAAGUGGUUGUCAUGUCCUCCCUGGAACAGCCACUAAAGAUCCCUACUGCUCUCAUGUAUGCAGGGACACUCAGUCACAUCACCAGGAGGGGACCCUAG